rnacentral:misc_RNA from 1 species
CUGAGCUCGGAAGAGACUCUCUGGUGAGGACCAUGUAACCUCAGGAGGCUCCUAAAUUUUUCUCUGCUGUGAAUGCUAUUUCUCCUGCCUGCGCUAAGGUGCGCGGUUGGUGGCUGUUCUGCAGUGGGGGGAGGGAGCCGACAACGACCUGGGAGUGUGCGUGCAUCUCUAUAUUCAAAAGAACGUUUUUUUUCCCACUACUCGACACUUUCAAUUACAACACAUACCGUAGUUUACUUUGCAACGACUCUUUUGAGGGGAGGGGGAGCGCGCCCAUUGGGGAGGAAAAUCACCAUCGGAUGCUAACGC